rnacentral:rRNA from 1 species
CAGCCGUAAACAAUGUGCGUUAGGUGUGUCGGUAACCACGUGUUACUGAUGCGCCGAAGAGAAAUCGUGAAACGCACCACCUGGGAAGUACGGUCGCAAGGCUGAAACUUAAAGGAAUUGGCGGGGGAGCACCACAACAGGUGGAGCCUGCGGUUUAAUUGGAUUUAACGCCGGACAUCUCACCGGAUAAGACAGCUGAAUGAUUGUCAAUCUGAAGGUUUUACAUGACUAGCUGAGAGGUGGUGCAUGGCGUCAGUGACU